rnacentral:rRNA from 1 species
UACGUAGGUCCCGAGCGUUGUCCGGAUUUAUUGGGCGUAAAGCGAGCGCAGGUGGUUUAUUAAGUCUGGUGUAAAAGGCAGUGGCUCAACCAUUGUAUGCAUUGGAAACUGGUAGACUUGGGUGCAGGAGAGGUAAGUGGAAUUCCUAGUGUAGCGGUGAAAUGCGUAGAUAUUAGGAGGAACACCAGUGGCGAAGGCGGCUUACUGGACUGUAACUGACGUUGAGGCUCGAAAGCGUGGGGAGCAAACAGG